rnacentral:rRNA from 1 species
AUGGUAGCCCGGUGGUGGCUGCUACUGCUCGGCCUCGCCGCCGACGUGCUUCAAGUUGGCGGCCAGCGCGCGCCGGACACCACGGGUUUCAUCAGCAUCGACUGUGGCCUGUCGGAGCAGAGCAGCUACGUGGAUGACCUCACCAAACUGCUCCUCAGCUCGGACGCCGGCUUCACCGACGCAGGCACCAACUACGACGUCUCAGCCCGGUAUACGAACCUGUUGUACAGACGCUUCCUCACCGUCCGGAGCUUCCCCAGCUCGGUGGACGGCCGCAGCUGCUACACCCUGCCGUCCGCCGUGCCAGGGACGUCCAAGUACAUGGUCCGGGCAGCGUUCAAGUACGGCGACUACGAUGGGCUCAACAAGCUCCCCAUCUUCGACCUCUACCUCGGUGUCAACCUGUGGCGGACGGUGAACAUCACGGAUGCUGGCUUGGUGCAGAUCGCCGAGGCCAUCGUCGUUAUCCCGGAGGACAGAGUGCAGGUUUGCAUGGUGAACAUCGGCUCAGGGACGCCGUUCAUCUCCACCCUAGACUUGAGGCCUCUCAAGAAUAGUCUCUACCCGCAAGCGAACGCGACCCAGGGCCUCUCCAUGAUCUUCACGGGUAAUUUCGGUGCGUCGGAUGUGAUCAGAUACCCGAACGAUCCAUACGACCGUUUAUGGGUCCCGUGGUGGUCCGUGGUCCUGUGGUCGGGCGUGUUCGGACAUGGCAACUUCCAGGGCGACCAGGAUGGCAAAUUCGAAGUACCCGCCGUCGUGAUGAAGACUGCCAUCACUCCAUUCAACCCCUCCGACAACAUCUCUUGCUCCAGCCAAGCCCGCCGGUUCAACGUCGGCUACAACAACCAUCUUUCGAUGUCCAACUACGAGCCGUCGUACCUCAAGCUCGGCUAUAACAACAUUGAACCCGUUCAGUUCUUCAACCAGUACAACGUCACCAUAUCCAGGGCGCCAAACUCCACACUGCCGCCCAUCAUCAACGCCUGCGAGUUUUUCUCCACCAUGUCUACCGCCAAUGUUGGCACAAACGCUCAUGAUGAUCUUCCUUUCUCCCCAGUUCUGCUGCUGCUGCUGCAGACACAAUGUCUCAGUGCUUCUGCCAUGAUUGCAAUCAAGGCCAAGUAUCAGGUGAAGAAGAACUGGGAGGGUGAUCCAUGUUCUCCAAAGACUCUCGUGUGGCAUGGUUUGAACUGCAGCUACCCCAUUUCUCUACCUCCAAGAAUUACAAGCGUAAAUAUGUCAUUCGGCGGUUUGGGUGGUGAUAUAUCAUCUUAUUUCGCCAAACUCAAAGCUAUCCAAUAUUUGGAUUUGUCACACAAUGAAUUGACGGGAUUCAUUCCUAAUGAGCUUUCACAACUGCACUCCCUUGUGGUGUUGUAA